rnacentral:tRNA from 1 species
GUGGGCGUAGCUCAGUUGGUAGAGCCCCUGACUGUGACUCAGGUCGUCGUGGGUUCGAGUCCCAUCGUCCACC